GACGAACGCUGGCGGCGUGCUUAACACAUGCAAGUCGAACGGAAAGGCCCUGCUUUUGUGGGGUGCUCGGGUGGCGAACGGGUGAGUAACACGUGAGUAACCUGCCCUUGACUUUGGGAUAGCUUCAGGAAACUGGGGCUAAUACCGGAUAGGAGCUCCUGCUGCAUGGUGGGGGUUGGCAAGAUUCGGCGGUUGGGGAUGGACGCGCGGCUUAUCAGCUUGUUGGUGGGGUAGUGGCUUACCAAGGCUUUGACGGGUAGCCGGCCUGAGAGGGUGACCGGCCACAUUGGGACUGAGAUACGGCCCAGACUCCUACGGGAGGCAGCAGUGGGGAAUAUUGCACAAUGGGCGGAAGCCUGAUGCAGCAACGCCGCGUGCGGGAUGACGGCCUUCGGGUUGUAAACCGCUUUCGCCUGUGACGAAGCGUGAGUGACGGUAAUGGGUAAAGAAGCACCGGCUAACUACGUGCCAGCCGCCGCCGUAA
rnacentral:rRNA from 1 species